GACGGAGGAUGCAAGUGUUAUCCGGAAUCACUGGGCGUAAAGCGUCUGUAGGUGGCUGCGUAAGUCGGAUGUGAAAGCCCUGGGCUCAACUCAGGAAGUGCACUCGAUACUGCGUAGCUCGAGUACCGGAGAGGUUGGUGGAAUUCUCGGUGUAGAGGUGAAAUUCGUAGAUAUCGAGAGGAACACCUGUGGCGAAGGCGGCCAACUGGACGAGUACUGACACUGAGACACGAAAGCGUGGGGAGCAAACAGG
rnacentral:rRNA from 1 species